rnacentral:rRNA from 1 species
ACACAUGCAAGUCGAGGGGCAGCAUCAUCAAAGCUUGCUUUGAUGGAUGGCGACCGGCGCACGGGUGAGUAACACGUAUCCAACCUGCCGACAACACUGGGAUAGCCUUUCGAAAGAAAGAUUAAUACCGGAUGGUAUAGUUUUCCCGCAUGGGAUGAUUAUUAAAGAAUUUCGGUUGUCGAUGGGGAUGCGUUCCAUUAGGCAGUUGGCGGGGUAACGGCCCACCAAACCUACGAUGGAUAGGGGUUCUGAGAGGAAGGUCCCCCACAUUGGAACUGAGACACGGUCCAAACUCCUACGGGAGGCAGCAGUGAGGAAUAUUGGUCAAUGGACGAGAGUCUGAACCAGCCAAGUAGCGUGAAGGAUGACUGCCCUAUGGGUUGUAAACUUCUUUUAUACGGGAAUAAAGUGAGCCACGUGUGGCUUUUUGUAUGUACCGUAUGAAUAAGGAUCGGCUAACUCCGUGCCAGCAGCCGCGGUAAUACGGAGGAUCCGAGCGUUAUCCGGAUUUAUUGGGUUUAAAGGGAGCGUAGGCGGGUUGUUAAGUCAGUUGUGAAAGUUUGCGGCUCAACCGUAAAAUUGCAGUUGAUACUGGCGACCUUGAGUGCAACAGAGGUAGGCGGAAUUCGUGGUGUAGCGGUGAAAUGCUUAGAUAUCACGAAGAACUCCGAUUGCGAAGGCAGCUUACUGGAUUGUAACUGACGCUGAUGCUCGAAAGUGUGGGUAUCAAACAGGAUUAGAUACCCUGGUAGUCCACACAGUAAACGAUGAAUACUCGCUGUUGGCGAUAUACAGUCAGCGGCCAAGCGAAAGCAUUAAGUAUUCCACCUGGGGAGUACGCCGGCAACGGUGAAACUCAAAGGAAUUGACGGGGGCCCGCACAAGCGGAGGAACAUGUGGUUU